rnacentral:rRNA from 1 species
UACGAAGGGGGGCUAGCGUUGCUCGGAAUGACUGGGCGUAAAGGGCGCGUAGGCGGCUUGCACCGUCAGAUGUGAAAUUCCUGGGCUUAACCUGGGGGGCUGCAUUUGAUACGUGUGGGCUUGAGUGCGGAAGAGGGUCGUGGAAUUCCCAGUGUAGAGGUGAAAUUCGUAGAUAUUGGGAAGAACACCGGUGGCGAAGGCGGCGACCUGGUCCGUGACUGACGCUGAGGCGCGAAAGCGUGGGGGGGCAAACAGG